GCCUUCGUGGUGCAGUGGUCAGCACUGUCGGCGCGUAUUCGAGAGGUCCGUGGUUCGAGUCCCGGCAAAGGCA
rnacentral:tRNA from 1 species